ACGAACGCUGGCGGCGCGCCUAACACAUGCAAGUCGAACGGAGCUGAGAGAAGCUUGCUUUUCUUAGCUUAGUGGCGAACGGGUGAGUAACGCGUGAGUAACCUGCCCUGGAGUGGGGGACAACAGUUGGAAACGACUGCUAAUACCGCAUAAGCCCACGAUCCGGCAUCGGAUUGAGGGAAAAGGAUUUAUUCGCUUCAGGAUGGACUCGCGUCCAAUUAGCUAGUUGGUGAGGUAACGGCCCACCAAGGCGACGAUUGGUAGCCGGACUGAGAGGUUGAACGGCCACAUUGGGACUGAGACACGGCCCAGACUCCUACGGGAAGCAGCAGUGGGGGAUAUUGCACAAUGGGGGAAACCCUGAUGCAGCGACGCCGCGUGGAGGAAGAAGGUUUUCGGACUGUAAACUCCUGUCGUUAGGGACGAUAAUGACGGUACCUAACAAGAAAGCACCGGCUAACUACGUG
rnacentral:rRNA from 1 species